rnacentral:rRNA from 1 species
GAUGAACGCUGGCGGCGUGCCUAACACAUGCAAGUCGAACGAUGAAACCGCCCUCGGGCGGACAUGAAGUGGCGAACGGGUGAGUAACACGUGACCGACCUGCCCCCCGCCCAGGGACAGCCCCCCGAAAGGGGGAUUAAUACCUGGUACUCCGGAAGCGGCGCAUGCCGCCCCCGGGAAAGCUCUGGCGGCGGGGGAUGGGGUCGCGGCCCAUCAGGUAGACGGCGGGGCAGAGGCCCACCGUGCCGACGACGGGUAGCCGGGUUGAGAGACCGACCGGCCACAUUGGGACUGAGAUACGGCCCAGACUCCUACGGGAGGCAGCAGUGGGGAAUUUUGCGCAAUGGGGGCAACCCUGACGCAGCAACGCCGCGUGCGGGACGAAGGCGUCCGCGUCGUAAACCGCUUUCAGCGGGGAACACCUAACGAGGGUACCCGCAGAAGAAGCCCCGGCUAAAUACGUGCCAGCCGCCGCCGUAAUAC